rnacentral:lncRNA from 1 species
UUCCCGCGGGGCCCCCUCCACAGAUCCGCAUCCUCAAGAGGCCCACCAGCAACGGUGUGGUCAGCAGCCCCAACUCCACCAGCAGGCCCACCCUUUUGGUAUUCUGGGACUUGAAGAAAAAAUCUGCGUACCUUCUUUCUAGCUCUUCAUAAUUUUGAAGAGAUACCUGUUCUUUUUGUUGUUUCUCCUCUAAGUCUUCACCUUUCCAGGGUGGAAAAAUAGUCAUAUGAGUCAACCGUUAACCGCAGAGUUUGGAGAGGAGUGGGAGGGAAGAAUUGGGGGGCGGGGGAUGUGUCCCUCUGCUGAGCUCUUGAUUCCAGUUCUUUACUUUGGCCUAACACU